GUGGGGAAUUUUGGACAAUGGGGGCAACCCUGAUCCAGCCAUGCCGCGUGCAGGAAGAAGGCCUUCGGGUUGUAAACUGCUUUCGGACGGGAAGAAAUGGCCAUCUCUAACAUAGGUGGUUGAUGACGGUACCGUAAGAAGAAGCACCGGCUAACUACGUGCCAGCAGCCGCGGUAAUACGUAGGGUGCGAGCGUUAAUCGGAAUUACUGGGCGUAAAGCGUGCGCAGGCGGAUGUUUAAGUCAGAUGUGAAAUCCCCGGGCUUAACCUGGGAAUGGCAUUUGAAACUGGGCAUCUAGAGUGCGUCAGAGGGGGGUGGAAUUCCACGUGUAGCAGUGAAAUGCGUAGAGAUGUGGAGGAACACCGAUGGCGAAGGCAGCCCCCUGGGAUGACACUGACGCUCAUGCACGAAAGCGUGGGGAGCAAACAGGAUUAGAAACCCUUGUAGUCC
rnacentral:rRNA from 1 species